AAUAAGAUUAUUUUUCAGUUUUUUGAUACAAUGUUUUGACUUUUCGUCUUAUUUGAAAUUUUUUUAUUAAUUUUUUUAUUCUUACUGGAUGAUAAAACAUAAAUAGUAUUUUAUGCGUGACUAAAUUUUUUAAGUUUUUGUACAAAUUUUUCAAAUAAGACAAAUGGUAAAAUGUUGAACACGGAAAA
rnacentral:pre_miRNA from 1 species